rnacentral:rRNA from 1 species
UACGUAGGGUGCAGGCGUUAAUCGGAAUUACUGGGCGUAAAGCGUGCGCAGGCGGUCGUUCAAGUCGCGUGUGAAAGCCCCGGGCUCAACCCGGGAAGUGCACUCGAUACUGCGAAGCUUGAGUGUCGGAGAGGUUGGUGGAAUUCUCGGUGUAGAGGUGAAAUUCGUAGAUAUCGAGAGGAACACCGGUGGCGAAGGCGGCCAACUGGACGAACACUGACGCUGAGACACGAAAGCGUGGGGAGCAAACAGG